rnacentral:lncRNA from 1 species
NNNNNNNNNCGAAUGGAAUCAUCAACGAAUGGAAUCCAAUGGAAUCAUCAAAUGAAAUCUAAUGGAAUCAUCAUCAAAUGGAAACGAAUGGAAUCAUUGAAUGGACUCGAAUGGAAUCAUCAUCAAAUGGAAUCUUAUGGAAUCAUCGAAUGGACACGCAUGGAAUCAUUAUCAAAUGAAAUCGAAUGUAAUCAUAGAAUGAAAUUGAAUGGAAUCAUCAUUGAAUGUAAUCGAAUAGAAUCAUCGAAUGGAAUCAAAUGGAAUUAUCAAUUAAUGGAAUCAAAUGAAAUCAUUUAAUGGACUCGAAUGGAAUCUUCAUCGAAGGUAAUCAAAUGGAAUCAUCAAAUGGACUCGAAUGGAAUCAUCAUUGAAUGCAAUCUAAUGGAAUCAUGGAAUGGAAUAGAAUUGAACCAUCAUUGCAUGGAAUCAAAUGGAAUCAUCGAAUGAAAUCGAAUGGAAUCAUUGAAUGGUACUGAAUGCAGUCAUCCUCGAAUGGAAUUGAAUGGAAUCAUCGAAUGGACUCAAAUGGAAUCAUCAUCGAAUGGAAUCGAAUGGAAUCAUCAAAUGGACUUGAAUGCAAUCAUCGAAUGGACACGAAUGGAAUCAUCAUCGAAUGGACACGAAUGGAAUCAUCGAAUGGACUC